GGCAACUUGGCCGAGUGGUCUAAGGCGUGCGGUUCAGGUCCGCAUCUCAUUCGUGGGGCGUGAGUUCGAAUCUCACAGUUGUCA
rnacentral:tRNA from 1 species